UACGUAGGUGGCAAGCGUUAUCCGGAAUUAUUGGGCGUAAAGCGCGCGCAGGUGGUUUCUUAAGUCUGAUGUGAAAGCCCACGGCUCAACCGUGGAGGGUCAUUGGAAACUGGGAGACUUGAGUGCAGAAGAGGAAAGUGGAAUUCCAUGUGUAGCGGUGAAAUGCGUAGAGAUAUGGAGGAACACCGGUGGCGAAGGCGGGUCUCUGGGCAAUUCCUGACGCUGAGGCGCGAAAGCGUGGGGAGCAAACGGG
rnacentral:rRNA from 1 species